CUGCUGGCGGGGAGCGGGGUGGCACCGGAGGGAUGGCCCGCAGGUGGGGGCAGUGACAGCGGCGUGUCGGUGGGGCCUCUGCCCUGCAGCUCCUGGCUGUGCCUCGGCGGUAGCCAUCGCCUAGGGGGUGGUAACAUCCGAAAUAGCGAGUGUCCAAAAGCAGCGUUUAAAGGUUGGGUUUUUUAUAGGUUGUAAGUGUCCCAUUGGACGUGAAGAGAUCAACCAUUGCGGUCCCAUGGCCCUUACUGCUGUCUCCUGCUGUCCUAGCUAGGAUACAAAGUAUAAAUCCUUACAAAUGAUGUUAGAAGAGUCAUUCUUCCCAAGAUGAUUAUUCAAAGAAUUUUGAACAUCUGAAUAGAUGACUGCACCAGGAAUGAUUGUAGAGAGAAGCUAUACCUGCAGUUUUACCAACAGAUGCGGAAAGAAUGAGACACCUUCUGACUGUCAUUGUUGCCAUCAGCAAGGAGCGAAACACCUGCUAAAGGAUUUGGACUUCUGGGAUAUUCUUGACAUCAACCUGCAAAAUGGCCACUGCUUGGAGGGACGCCUGGCCUUUUGCCAGUGCCAGCUGUUCAUGUUAAACCAGUACAGCACCAAUGGAGAGCUUAAUUAAGAAGACACUGCUGACAUAACUGGCAAUAGUGGAAGUCCUGUAACCACACAUGCAUCGCACCUUCUCUCGUGCUCCAGCCCAUGAGAACUUCUGAAAAAUUUAAGAAGGCUUUUCUAUUAAAACAAAUGUUCAUGAAUGUCAGUGUUGUACCUUGGUAAUUUUAAAUUAGAAGGUGCUAAACAGUCACAAAAUAAAGUUACCUGUUUUACACAGUUGUCACCAGUUUCACUUUGUGGUUGAACUUUAUCUGGCUAUUCAAGUUAGAAUGGGCAGAUCUGGUCAGACCUGGCUUUCAGUGCAUGUUUGAUGGGAUGGAUGGAAUUCUCUAAAUUCAUGGCAAGUCUGUCAGUUAUUUUGGCAUUUUACCUUAAUGAGAGAUGAAGGUAAAAGGACUGACCUUAGCUUCAACCAGAAUUGUUGAUGUUACUUGCUCACCUAAUAACUGACAGCUUUGAAACCGUUUUAUAUUGAAUUCCUGAAUAUUGAAUUUGCUUGGGAUUUUUUGUAUUUUCAACUGUUGUAACUUCAAGUUAUAAUGGAAGUGAAAACAAUGGAAAAAUUAAGGAAAAUAUUGAAAUAAUUGCAGUUAGAAAAGCAGUCCAGUAAAUUAAUGUGAAAAACCA
rnacentral:lncRNA from 1 species